rnacentral:lncRNA from 1 species
ACCAUAACAAAAACGGCCCAUAUUUUUAAGUUUUACCCCACCUAGCCUAUAUUGUACAUAUUUUAAAAAUACUAGCUCUUGCAAAUUCAAAAUAUGUGUUCUUACAACCAUUGCUUCUAAAAGCUAUGAAGUUAAAUGUGUGUGUUUUCACAACCAUUAUCUUCACUCUCUCUUCUUCUCACUUUUUUUACAUAUGCUUUAAGGGGCCAUCUGCCAUUACUGCUUCUCCCUCUAUAUCACCUGGUUGCAAUGUAAAAAAAUUAAAGAGUAAAAGUCCACCAUUAAAGGGCAUUCAAAGCUUUGCUUUAGAAAAUAGAAUUUCUUGUAAUUCUUAGUUGUUUGGAUUGGGUGAUGUUCCAAUGAUUGAAAAUAUCAAAAGGAGUUUAAAGUUUAAAUUUGAAGUGAUUUGGAGUAGAUUUGAGCAAGUUAAAUUUCAGAAAAAAUGCAAGGA